rnacentral:rRNA from 1 species
AUUGAACGCUGGCGGCAGGCCUAACACAUGCAAGUCGAGCGGCAGCGGGAAAGUAGCCUGCUACUUUUGCCGGCGAGCGGCGGACGGGUGAGUAAUGCCUGGGAAAUUGCCCAGUCGAGGGGGAUAACAGUUGGAAACGACUGCUAAUACCGCAUACGCCCUACGGGGGAAAGCAGGGGACCUUCGGGCCUUGCGCGAUUGGGUAUGCCCAGGUGGGAUUAGCUAGUUGGUGAGGUAAUGGCUCACCAAGGCGACGAUCCCUAGCUGGUCUGAGAGGAUGAUCAGCCACACUGGAACUGAGACACGGUCCAGACUCCUACGGGAGGCAGCAGUGGGGAAUAUUGCACAAUGGGGGAAACCCUGAUGCAGCCAUGCCGCGUGUGUGAAGAAGGCCUUCGGGUUGUAAAGCACUUUCAGCGAGGAGGAAAGGUUGAUGCCUAUACGUAUCAACUGUGACGUUACUCGCAGAAGAAGCACCGGCUAACUCCGUGCCAGCCGCCGCAGUAACAC